rnacentral:rRNA from 1 species
GAUGAACGUUGGCGGCGUGGAUUAGGCAUGCAAGUCGAGCGCUCAUAGCAAUAUGGGAGCGGCGAACGGCGUAGUAAUGCAUCGGAACGUACCCUUCGGUCGGGGAUAGCCACGGGAAACUGUGGGUAAUACCCGAUGAUAUCUGCGGAUCAAAGGUGAGAUUCCGCCGGAGGAGCGGCUGAUGUGAUAUUAGCUUGAUGGUGGGGUAAUGGCCUACCAUGGCGAUGAUGUCUAGGGGGUGUGAGAGCAUGGCCCCCCACGACCGGAACUGAGACACUGUCCGGACACCUACGGGUGGCUGCAGUCGAGAAUCUUCCGCAAUGGACGAAAGUCUGACGGAGCGACGCCGCGUGCGGGAUGAAGGCCCUUGGGUUGUAAACCGCUGUCAGAGGGGAUGAAAUCUCCGGGGGUACUCCCCCGGAGUUGACAGAGCCUCAAAGGAAGCACGGGCUAAGUACGUG